GCGACCCCAGGUCAGGCGGGAUUACCCGUUGAGUUUAAGCAUAUCAAUAAGCGGAGGAAAACAAACUUACAAGGAUUCCCUUAGUAAUGACGAGCGAAUCGGGAAUAGCCCAGCCUUAGAAUCGGGCGGCUCCGUCGUCCGAAUUGUAGUCUGGAGAAGCGUCCUCGUCCGAAUUGUAGUCUGGAGAAGCGUCCUCAGCGGUGGACUGGGCCCAAGUCCCCUGGAAGGGGGCGCCGGAGAGGGUGAGAGCCCCGUAGUGCCCAGACCCUAUCGCACCACGAGGCGCUGUCUACGAGUUGGGUUGUUUGGGAAUAGAGCCCAAAUCGGGCGGUGAAUUCCAUCCAAGGAUAAAUACGAGCGAGAGACCGAUAGCGAACAAGUACCGCGCGGGAAAGAUGAAAAGGACUUUGAAAAGAGAGUCAAAGAGUGCUUGAAAUUGUCGGGAGGGAAGAGGAUGGGGGCCGGCGAUGCUCCCCGGUCGGAUGUGGAACAGCGACGAGCUGAUAUGCCGGUUGACCCAGGGCGUGGACCAGCGUGGAUUAGGAGGGCGGCUAAAUCCCGGGCUCUCGAUACGCUCGUGGAAUGCCGUCUCCUCGAUUAUGCCAGGCAGCGCGUGCCUCCGGCGUGCUUCGGCAUCUGCGCGCUUCGGACGCUGGCCUGUGAGCUCCCCAUUCGACCCAUCUUGAAUCACGGACCAAGGAGUCUGACAUGUGUGCAAGUCAAUGGGCGAGUAAACCCGUAAGACGCAAGGAAGCUGAUUGGUGGGAUCCCCCCGAGGGGUGCACCGCCGAUCGACCUUGAUCUUUUGAGAAGGGUUCGAGUGUGAGCAUACCUGUUGGGACCCGAAAGAUGGUGAACUAUGCCUGAACGGGGCUCGCGUGCGAGUUCUAUCGGUUAAAGCCAAUGAUUAGAGGCCUCAGGGACGCAACGCCCUCGAACUAUUCUCAAACUUUAAAUAGGUAGAACGGUGCGACUGCUUCGUUGAGCCGCGCCACAAAAUUAAGAGCUCCGAGUGGGACAUUUUUGGUAAGCAGAACUGGCGAUGCGGGAUGAACCAGAAGCCGGGUUACGGUGCCAAAAUGCACGCUAACCUAGAUCCCACAAAGGGUGUUGGUCGAUUAAGACAGUAGAACGGUGGUCAUGGAAGUCGAAAUCCGCUAAGGAGUGUGUAACAACUCACCUGCCGAAUCAAAUAGCAUGGAAAGUGGAUGGCGGUUAAGCGCGCGACCUACACCCAGCCGUUGGGGCAAGUGCCAGGCCCCGAUGAGUAGGAGGGUGUGGCGGUCGCUGCAAAACCUUAGGCGCAAGCCCGGGCGGAGCGGCCGUCGGUGCAGAUCUUGGUGGUAGUAGAAAAUAUUCAAAUGAGAACUUUGAAGGCCAAAGAGGGGAAAGGUUCCAUGUGAACGGAACUGGCACAUGGGUUAGUCGAUCCUAAGGGUCGGGGAAACCCGGACAGAUACCGCGUUUCGUGCGAGCUUCGAAUGGGAAUCGGGUUAAAAUUCCUGAACCGGGACGUGGCAGUCGACGACAACGUUAGGAAGUUCGGAGACGUCGGUGGGAGCCUCAGGAAGAGUUAUGUUUUCUGUUUAACAGCCUGCCCCCGAUGGAAUCGGCUCAGCCGGAGGUAGGGUCUAGCGACUGGAAGAGCACCGCACGUCGCGUGGUGUCCGGUGCGCUCCUGGCGGCCCUUGAAAAUCCGGAGGACCGAAUGUCGUCCACACCCGGUCGUACUCAUAACUGCAUCAGGUCUCCAAGGUGAACAACCUCUGGUCGAUAGAACAAUUUAGGAAAGGGAAGUCGGCAAAAUGGAUCCGUAAGUUUGGGAAAAGGAUUGGCUCUGAGGGCUGGGCACGGUGGUCCCAGUCCCGAACCCGUCGGCUGUCGGUGGACUGCUCGAACUGCUCCUGCGGCGAGAGCUGGUCGCCGCGUGCCGGGAUGGGGACGGACUGGGAACGGUUCCUUUGGGGGCCUUCCCCGCGCGUCGAACAGCCAACUCACGCAAUGUGAUUUCUGCCCAGUGCUCUGAAUGUCAAAGUGAAUAAAUUCA
rnacentral:rRNA from 1 species